rnacentral:rRNA from 1 species
UACGGAGGGUGCGAGCGUUGUUCGGAAUCACUGGGCGUAAAGCGCGUGUAGGCGGCCCACUAAGUCUGAUGUGAAAGCCCGGGGCUCACCCCCGGAAGUGCAUUGGAAACUGGUGGACUCGAGUCCCGGAGAGGAGAGUGGAAUUCCUGGUGUAGCGGUGAAAUGCGUAGAUAUCAGGAGGAACACCGGUGGCGAAGGCGGGUCUCUGGGCCGAUACUGACGCUGAGGAGCGAAAGCGUGGGGAGCGAACAGG